rnacentral:rRNA from 1 species
UACAGAGGUCUCAAGCGUUGUUCGGAAUCACUGGGCGUAAAGGGUGCGUAGGCGGUUCCGCAAGUCCUGUGUGAAAUCUUCGGGCUCAACUCGAAGUCUGCACAGGAAACUAUCUGGCUUGAGUGUGGGAGAGGUGAGUGGAAUUCCUGGUGUAGCGGUGAAAUGCGUAGAUAUCAGGAGGAACACCUGUGGCGAAAGCGGCUCACUGGACCACAACUGACGCUGAGGCGCGAAAGCUAGGGGAGCAAACAGG